rnacentral:rRNA from 1 species
CGUCGCGGGACAUGACUUACAACGGCGAGUGAAGCGGCAAAAGCUCAAAUUUGAAAUCUGGCACCUUCGGUGUCCGAGUUGUAAUUUGAAGAAGGUAACUUUGGAGUUGGCUCUUGUCUAUGUUCCUUGGAACAGGACGUCACAGAGGGUGAGAAUCCCGUGCGAUGAGAUGCCCAAUUCUAUGUAAAGUGCUUUCGAAGAGUCGAGUUGUUUGGGAAUGCAGCUCUAAGUGGGUGGUAAAUUCCAUCUAAAGCUAAAUAUUGGCGAGAGACCGAUAGCGAACAAGUACAGUGAUGGAAAGAUGAAAAGAACUUUGAAAAGAGAGUGAAAAAGUACGUGAAAUUGUUGAAAGGGAAGGGCUUGAGAUCAGACUUGGUAUUUUGCGAUCCUUUCCUUCUUGGUUGGGUUCCUCGCAGCUUACUGGGCCAGCAUCGGUUUGGAUGGUAGGAUAAUGACUAAGGAAUGUGGCUCUACUUCGGUGGAGUGUUAUAGCCUUGGUUGAUACUGCCUGUCUAGACCGAGGACUGCGUCUUUUGACUAGGAUGUUGGCAUAAUGAUCUUAAGCCACCCGUCUUGAAACACAGGACCAACCAAUUCUUCUUUAAAAUACAGUUUCUUUACUAUUAUCUUAUCUGUUUCUUUUUUGGUUUUUUUAGUUUUUG